rnacentral:lncRNA from 1 species
AAAACUUUGCACCUAACAGCUAGGUCCUUGUGAUAAUGAAAUUAGUAAAAAGGGGAGAUGAAAUCCCUUCAACAUCUAUACAGAAUGAAGGUUGAGAUUAAUGCAUCAAGCAGAGAUAACAGUUGACCACAUAGCAAAAGAGACGUUCUUGCUGAUCAUCAGGAACAGAAGAUUCCUUUCAGCCUUUUUUUUUUUUUGGUCUGUCAUUCAGGUUCAAUGAAUUUUGUUUAUCUGUCCUUUCCUGUUUCCAUCUGUUCUUGUCCAAAGGUGCCUGUAGGAGGUGAGGUGGAGGGUGUGAACAUCCCGGGGCUGGUGGUGUUUGCCAUCAUCUUUGGUGUGGCCCUGCAGAAGCUGGGCCCUGAGAGAGCGCUGCUCAUCUGCUUCUUCAGCUCCUUCAGUGAUGCACCCUGGUGCUGGUCUCCUGGAUCAUGUGGAUGCAUCCUGGAUCAGAAGGUCAGAAAUCAGAAGGCGAGUGACUUCCUGGAGGUCCAGUGAUUGAGACUCCGAGCUGCCAAUGCAGGGGGUGUGGGUUCGAUCCCUGGUUGGGAAACAAAGAUUCCCACAUGCAAUGUGGCACAGCCAAAAAGAAAAAUAAAUCAGGAGGUAAGUUAGGGCUUCUGCA